AGAACGAACGCUGGCGGCAGGCUUAACACAUGCAAGUCGAGCGCCCCGCAAGGGGAGCGGCAGACGGGUGAGUAACACGUGGGAACGUACCCUUUACUACGGAAUAACGCAUGGAAACGUGUGCUAAUACCGUAUGUGCCCUUUGGGGGAAAGAUUUAUCGGUAAAGGAUCGGCCCGCGUUGGAUUAGCUAGUUGGUGGGGUAAAGGCCUACCAAGGCGACGAUCCAUAGCUGGUCUGAGAGGAUGAUCAGCCACAUUGGGACUGAGACACGGCCCAAACUCCUACGGGAGGCAGCAGUGGGGAAUAUUGGACAAUGGGCGCAAGCCUGAUCCAGCCAUGCCGCGUGAGUGAUGAAGGCCCUAGGGUUGUAAAGCUCUUUCACCGGAGAAGAUAAUGACGGUAUCCGGAGAAGAAGCCCCGGCUAACUUCGUGCCAGCAGCCGC
rnacentral:rRNA from 1 species